GUAGGUGGCAAGCGUUGUCCGGAAUUGUUGGGCGUAAAGCGCGCGCAGGCGGUCCUUUAAGUCUGAUGUGAAAGCCCACGGCUCAACCGUGGAGGGUCAUUGGAAACUGGGGGACUUGAGUACAGAAGAGGAAAGCGGAAUUCCAAGUGUAGCGGUGAAAUGCGUAGAGAUUUGGAGGAACACCAGUGGCGAAGGCGGCUUUCUGGUCUGUAACUGACGCUGAGGCGCGAAAGCGUGGGGAGCAAACAGGAUUAGAUACCCUGGUAGUCCACGCCGUAAACGAUGAGUGCUAAGUGUUAGGGGGUUUCCCGCCCCCUUAGUGCUGCAGCUAACGCAUUAAGCACUCCGCCUGGGGAGUACGGCCGCAAGGCUG
rnacentral:rRNA from 1 species